rnacentral:lncRNA from 13 species
AAUGAUCAAAGUUCUUUUUAUAUUGUAACAAAAGAUAUCAGAAAUUCGGGCAAAGUCAACGUGGAUGUUAAAAUUAACGGCAAUUAGCGGCAAUUAGCGGUAUCACAUGCCUCCCACGUUGGGCGGUCAUGAGAAGAAAGUGCAGCUUGCACGCAACGCAAGCGCAGGCGAAGGAAGUUUUACGUCCUGCGGGACAAACAUCGAUGGAAAUCGAAUGAUGCGGAACAGGCACCUGCGUGGGUACAGGCAAUUACGUAUGAAUAACUUCGACGAAAAAGUAGCCGAUGCGAUCGCACACCGACUCUGAUCUUAUCGACACGGUGUCGCGCGCAUUGCCGAAGGUCCUAGGCCCGAUAUACUCCGCGAAUUUCGAAGACAAGUGUAAUUCGGGACAUAUGCAUGUUUCAAGAUAAUGCCCAAGUUAUUCGAAGCGUAUAAAUCAUCAAAUGUGCAAUCUCACUUUAAUUACUCGCUUUAAUGACUCAAAUUAAUUAAGCGAAGACUAAUUUAUGUAUAUAAAGAUUAUGAACUGUAAUAUACACUUUUAUACCAUUAUUGGAUUAAAGUGAUUAUAUAUAA